rnacentral:rRNA from 1 species
AUUGAACGCUGGCGGCAUGCCUUACACAUGCAAGUCGAACGGUAGAAGUAGCAAUACUUUGAGAGUGGCGAACGGGUGAGUAAUGCUUCGGAACAUGCCCAACUGUGGGGGAUAACGUAGCGAAAGUUACGCUAAUACCGCAUACGAUCUACGGAUGAAGGCGGGGGACCGUAAGGCCUCGCGCAGUUGGAGUGGCUGAUGUCAGAUUAGCUAGUUGGUAGGGUAAAGCCUACCAAGGCAACGAUCUGUAGCUGGUCUGAGAGGACGACCAGCCACACUGGGACUGAGACACGGCCCAG